rnacentral:rRNA from 1 species
UACGUAGGGUGCAAGCGUUAAUCGGAAUUACUGGGCGUAAAGCGUGCGCAGGCGGUUUUGUAAGUUUGUCGUGAAAGCCCCGGGCUCAACCUGGGAAUGGCGAUGAAGACUGCAAGGCUUGAAUCUGGCAGAGGGGGGUAGAAUUCCACGUGUAGCAGUGAAAUGCGUAGAGAUGUGGAGGAACACCGAUGGCGAAGGCAG